rnacentral:rRNA from 1 species
AGUGAACGCUGGCGGUAGGCCUAACACAUGCAAGUCGAACGGCAGCACAGUAAGAGCUUGCUCUUACGGGUGGCGAGUGGCGGACGGGUGAGGAAUACAUCGGAAUCUACUUUUUCGUGGGGGAUAACGUAGGGAAACUUACGCUAAUACCGCAUACGACCUACGGUUGAAAGCAGGGGAUCUUCGGACCUUGCGCGAUUGAAUGAGCCGAUGUCGUAUUAGCUAGUUGGCGGGGUAAAGGCCCACCAAGGCGACGAUCCGUAGCUGGUCUGAGAGGAUGAUCAGCCACACUGGAACUGGGACACGGUCCAGACUCCUACGGGAGGCAGCAGUGGGGAAUAUUGGACAAUGGGCGAAAGCCUGAUCCAGCCAUACCGCGUGGGUGAAGAAGGCCUUCGGGUUGUAAAGCCCUUUUGUUGGGAAAGAAAAGCAGCAGGUUAAUACCCCGCUGUUCUGACGGUACCCAAAGAAUAAGCACCGGCUAACUUCGUG